rnacentral:rRNA from 1 species
AAGAUGGCGACCGGCGCACGGGUGAGUAACACGUAUCCAACCUGCUGAUAACUCCGGAAUAGCCUUUCGAAAGAAAGAUUAAUACCGGAUGGCAUACGAAUAUCGCAUGAUAUUUUUAUUAAAGAAUUUCGGUUAUCGAUGGGGAUGCGUUCCAUUAGUUUGUUGGCGGGGUAACGGCCCACCAAGACUACGAUGGAUAGGGGUUCUGAGAGGAAGGUCCCCCACAUUGGAACUGAGACACGGUCCAA